rnacentral:rRNA from 1 species
GAUGAAUGCUGGCGGCGUGCUUAACACAUGCAAGUCGAGCGGCAGCGCGAGUAGUUUACUACUUGGCGGCGAGCGGCGGACGGCUGAGUAACGCGUAGGAACGUGCCCCAAAGUGAGGAAUAACCGCCCGAAAGGGUGGCUAAUGCCGCAUAUGAUCUUCGGAUUAAAGGAUUUAUCCGCUUUGGGAGCGGCCUGCGUAUGAUUAGGUAGUUGGUGAGGUAAUGGCUCACCAAGCCGACGAUCAUUAGCUGGUCUGAGAGGAUGACCAGCCAGACUGGAACUGAGACACGGUCCAGACUCCUACGGGAGGCAGCAGUGAGGAAUCUUCCACAAUGGGCGAAAGCCUGAUGGAGCAACGCCGCGUGAAGGAUGAAGGCCCUCGGGUCGUAAACUUCUUUUAUAAGUGAAGAAUAUGACGGUAACUUAUGAAUAAGCACCGGCUAACUACGUGCCAGCAGCCGCGGUAA